UAAAACACACUCUCUCAUCCGAUCACAAAUGUUAAGCAAUGAUGUGCCUGGUCAGUAUGUAGAUGGGUGACUGCUUUGGAAUACCAGGUGCUGUAAG